ACUGUCCGUUUUUAGCUCGGCCUCACCUGCCUCUCUUUCUCUCCACUCUAUAUACCCACGGAGAGGAAGAGAUGGAUUGAAAUUUGAUUUCUGAAUCUGAAUCUGAAUUCAAUUUAGCGUGACGCCAGCUUCUCUAUAGGAUCCAACUCUUCCCACCCUUCCCUUCUCUCUCCUCAUUUUCGUAAAAGACAAGCUAACGAAAAUACUUUUGGAAUGUAUUGCAACUGCUGCAAUUACAAAGUCCAAAAUGGUUCAUUUAGAGACCUACCUCAAGAAGUGCAGAAAUUGCGCCAGCAGCAGAAACCCUGACAGGAUAACAGGAAGUAUCCCCUUUAUAUGGCAUGGCCAAUGCCUUGAGCAAUGAAGAAUAUAAAUCUGCACUCAUCUCCUGAAACUCAGUACCGGAAUGAAUGCAUGACGGUGUUUUCCAUUAAAAAUUAAUAAUUCAGUGUUCAAGAAAUUAGCUUGGAUGAUCAAAAGAAGAAAGUAAUAUGACUGUGAUAUAGCAAGUGACAAACACUUCUUUGGUGUGAGAGAAACAAGUAAAAGAUGGAUGACAUGAGUAAGAAAAUAGUCUCACUUCUCGUAGACGGUGCAAGCUCUCCAAGUAUCCACAUGACAUGAGUAACACUUCUUUGGAUUUGCAGUGGAAAGCACGUAUGGUAGGCAUGCAGAUAUCGUAUACAAUGGAAGCACCCGAGUAUAAACGAGAGUUUAUAUAUAUAUCCAGGUUCUUGCACCCUUAGAAACUGUAAUGUGGUAUACAAUUAUAAACUCUGGUGUAAAGACUGAUUAAACAAUAAUCACCACUAUGGGGUGAGAUCCGCUUA